UAAGGAAUAUUGGACAAUGGGCGCAAGCCUGAUCCAGCCAUGCCGCGUGAAGGAUUAAGGCCCUAUGGGUCGUAAACUUCUUUUAUACGGGACAAAACCCCUCUAUGUAUAGAGGGUUGAUGGUACUGUAAGAAUAAGCAUCGGCUAACUUCGUGCCAGCAGCCGCGGUAAUACGAAGGAUGCAAGCGUUAUCCGGAAUUAUUGGGUUUAAAGGGUGCGUAGGCGGACCUGUAAGUCAGUGGUGAAAGCCUGUUGCUUAACAACAGAACAGCCAUUGAUACUGCAAGUCUUGAGUACAGUUGAGGUAGGCGGAAUGUGUCAUGUAGCGGUGAAAUGCUUAGAUAUGACACAGAACACCGAUUGCGAAGGCAGCUUGCUAAGCUGUAACUGACGCUGAUGCACGAAAGCGUGGGGAGCAAACAG
rnacentral:rRNA from 1 species